rnacentral:rRNA from 1 species
GGGUUGUCAUGCCAAUGGCACUGCCCGGUAGCUAAAUGCGGAAGAGAUAAGUGCUGAAAGCAUCUAAGCACGAAACUUGCCCCGAGAUGAGUUCUCCCUGAGACUUUAAGUCUCCUGAAGGAACGUUGAAGACGACGACGUUGAUAGGCCGGGUGUGUAAGCGCAGCGAUGCGUUGAGCUAACCGGUACUAAUGAACCGUGAGGCUUAACCUUACAACGCCGAAGCUGUU